rnacentral:rRNA from 1 species
UACAGAGGGGGCAAGCGUUAUUCGGAAUUAUUGGGCGUAAAGGGCGCGUAGGCGGCCUGGCAAGUGGAAGGUGAAAUCCCUCGGCUUAACCGAGGAACUGCCCUCCAAACUGCUUGGCCUGAGUCCGGGAGAGGUGAGUGGAAUUCCCAGUGUAGCGGUGAAAUGCGUAGAUAUUGGGAAGAACACCCGUGGCGAAGGCGGCACUCUGGGACGGUACUGACGCUGAGACGCGAAAGCGUGGGGAGCGAACAGG